AAAACUCCUAUCUUCCCCACCCUUCUUCCCAAGGUGCUUCUGUUCAGGGAGGUGGAGUUGAUUGUGUCCCAUGGGACGUGGAUUUGGGGAAGAGGAGUCUCUACAGAUGAUUCCUUGCUCCAUGAGGAUUCAGCAAAGAAAGGCAGGAACCCCAGUCUUGAAUGCAAAGUGUUUUCUUUUAGGUUUCACUAUUGAACACAUAAUGUGUGUCUCCACCUGGAGCUGCCCACCAGAGAUCUCCCCUAAUGUGGGCCUAGAAGACAAGGGUAGAACAUUCGAAAGGUCAAGUGUGGCUAAUGCUUCUCUCCAUCUGCAUGAACCAAGGAAACAAGGGAGGAACCGAACAUAAUAGAAGAAAGAGCAUCAAUUCAGCAGGCAAGACACUCAGCUCAACCACUUAUUUGCUGCCUGACUUUGGGCAAGUCACUCUCUUACUCUAAAUUUCCAUUUUCCCACCUAUAAAAUGAGAUGGUUGGACUAGAUUGAGAGUUUCUGAUAGCCUCAUAGUCCGUCCCUGUUUCGUGGCCAUAAGAUUUAUUUCGGUUCAAGGCAGUUCCAUUCAACAACCUUGAGAGACAGCUACAGCAGCAUAUUACAAUACUGUGAAGUAU
rnacentral:lncRNA from 1 species